ensembl:lncRNA
CGCAGCUAGUGGAGGCGGCAAAGUGCUCAGUGUUGCCAGAUUGUAAAUGGUGAAGUAUCGUACCAAAGGCUCAAAAUGGUCGUAUUUGGAGGAUAAUUAUCGUGUAUCUGGCAACAUUGAGAUCGGUCGACCAAUGACUGUUCUCUCUACAGUCAGAGCUCGCGAAAGAAGGUGGAACAACGCAACCAUGUAAUGCCUCAGGAGUCUGUAGAGGGAAUGAAGACGCGUUCUGCUGCACUUAACAGAGCUCAAGACCAACGGGACGCCAUCAGGACGCCACGUCAACGGGACGCCAUCAGGGUGCCAUCAGGACGCCACGUCAACGGGACGCCAUCAGGACGUCACGUCAACCCCUCAGGAGCAAAUCCAGAUCUACGCAUGACACACAUACACACACACACACAGAUGUACACACAGACACACUAACAUUUGGUUCUAAACAAUGACACACACUAACAUUUAGAUGUACACAAAGACACAUUAAUAUUUAGAUGUACACACAGACACACUAACAAUUAGAUCUACACACAGACACACUAACAAUUAGAUCUACACACAGACCCACUAACAUUUAGAUGUACACACAGACACAUCCUGGUGACCCUCCUCACGUCUCUUCUCCUUGUCUGCAGACCAACAGGACGCCACGUCAUCGGGACGCCUUCAGGACGCCGCGUCAGCCCCUCAGGAGCAAAUCCAGAUCUACUCAUGACACACACACACACCCACACACACACACACACAGAUGUACUCACAGACCCACUAACAUUUGGUUCUAAACAAAGACACACACUAACAGUUGGAUGUACACAAAGACACAUUAAUAUUUAGAUGUACACACAGACACACUGACAAUUAGAUGUACACACGGACCCACUAACAAUUAGAUGUACACAAAGACACACUAACAUUUAGAUGUACACUAAGACACACUAACUAUUAGAUGUACACACAGACCCACUAACAAUUAGAUGUACACACAGACACAUCCUGAUGAUCCUCCUCACGUCUCUUCUCCUUGUCUGCAGACAGGAUGCCAUCAUGACGCCACGUCAUCGGGACGCCAUCAGGACACCACGUCAUCGGGACGUCAUCGGGACGCCAUCAGGACGCCGCGUCAACCCCUCAGCAGCAAAUCCAGAUCUACUCAUGACACACACACACACCCACACACUGCGAGGGAUGUCGCGACUCACACACACACUAACAUUUGGUUCUAAACAAAGACACACACUAACAUUUAGAUGUACACAAAGACACAUUCAUAUUUAGAUCUACACACAGACACACUAACAAUUAGAUCCACACAGACACACUAACAAUUAGAUGUACACACGGACACACUAACAAUUAGAUCUACACACAGACACAUUAACAAUUAGAUCUACACACAGACACACUAUCAUUUGGUUCUAAACAAAUACACACACUAAUAUUUAGAUGUACACACAGACACACUAACAUUUAGAUGUACACACAGACACACUAACAAUUAGAUGUACACAGACACACUAACAAUUAGAUCUACACACAGACACACUAACAAUUAGAUGGACACACUAACAAUUAGAUCUACACACAGACCCACUAACAAUUAGAUGUACACACAGGCACACCCUGAUGAUCCUCCUCACGUCUCUUCUCCUUGUCUGCAGACCAACAGGACGCCAUCAGGACGCCACGUCUUCGGGACGCCAUCAGGACGCCACGUCAUCGGGACGCCAUCAGGACGCCACGUCAUCGGGACGCCAUCAGGAUUCCAUCAGGACGCCGCGUCAACCCCUCCGGAGCAAACCUAGAUCUACUCAUGACACACACACACAGAUGUACUCAGAGACACACUUACAUUUGGCACUGUGGCAAAAUUUAGAUCGACAUUUUGAUGGUACACACAGACACACUAUUAUUUGUUUCUAAACAAUGACACACACUAAUAUUUAGAUGUACACAAAGACAUAUUAAUAUUUAGAUGUACACACAGACACACUAUCAUUUGGUUCUAAAAAAAAGACACACACUAAUAUUUAGAUGUACACAAAGACAUAUUAAUAUUUAGAUGUACACACAUACACACUAACAUUUAGAUGUACACACAGACACACUAACAAUUAGAUUUACACACACACUAACAUUAACAUGUUAAUAACUUUUCUUCUUUUCUCUCUUCUCAGGAACUGCUUCAGAUGUUUUCCCAAUGAUUGUAUUAUUAUUAUUAUUGUUAAAUAUGUCAUCUGUUUAUUAUUUGAAUAAAAAUAAAACCAAAUGAAUCCAUCUUGUUUUCUUCAGACCAAAGAGAAUCACAU